GAAAUUAGUGCCUGAUUAAUAGGAUUAUCUUGAUGAGAUAAAUAAAAUGGAUUAAAUCCAUCUAUUUCA
rnacentral:tRNA from 1 species